rnacentral:rRNA from 1 species
UCGCUAGUAAUCGCGGAUCAGCAUGCCGCGGUGAAUACGUUCCCGGGCCUUGUACACACCGCCCGUCACACCACGAGAGUUGGCAACACCCGAAGUCGGUGAGGUAACCUUUUUGAGCCAGCCGCCGAAGGUGGGGCCAAUGAUUGGGGUGAAGUCGUAACAAGGUAGCCGUAUCGGAAGGUGCGGCUGGAUCACCUCCUUU